CCUACGGGAGGCAGCAGUGGGGAAUAUUUGGACAAUGGGGGGAACGCCUGAUCCAGCCAUGCCGCGUGCGUGAAGAAGGCCUUUUGGUUGUAAAGCUGCUGUAUGUCGAGGACGAAACNAGCCUNCGAUUAAUA
rnacentral:rRNA from 1 species